AAUCCAUAGGUUAAUGAGGCGAACCGGGGGAACUGAAACAUCUAAGUACCCCGAGGAAAAGAAAUCAACCGAGAUUCCCCCAGUAGCGGCGAGCGAACGGGGAGGAGCCCAGAGCCUGAAUCAGCAUGUGUGUUAGUGGAAGCGUCUGGAAAGGCGCGCGAUACAGGGUGACAGCCCCGUACACAAAAGCGCAUGUGCUGUGAGCUCGAUGAGUAGGGCGGGACACGUGGUAUCCUGUCUGAAUAUGGGGGGACCAUCCUCCAAGGCUAAAUACUCCUGACUGACCGAUAGUGAACCAGUACCGUGAGGGAAAGGCGAAAAGAACCCCGGCGAGGGGAGUGAAAAAGAACCUGAAACCGUGUACGUACAAGCAGUGGGAGCACCCUUUGGGUGUGACUGCGUACCUUUUGUAUAAUGGGUCAGCGACUUAUAUUCUGUAGCAAGGUUAACCGAAUAGGGGAGCCGGAGGGAAACCGA
rnacentral:rRNA from 2 species